rnacentral:tRNA from 1 species
GCCCGGAUGGCGGAAUUGGUAGACGCGCUGGUCUCAAAAACCAGUUCUUUCGGGAGUGCCGGUUCGACCCCGGCUCCGGGUACUA